rnacentral:ncRNA from 2 species
UAAAAUAUUUAAAAUCUAGGUUUAGUAGAUACUUUGUAUUUGCUAAUUAAAAGGAAGUUGGGUGAAAAUCCCACACGGUCCCGCCACUGUAAGGGCUUUGCUUUUCAAUAGAGAUGGAAAAAUUCUCAGAGAAAGCAUGCUCAAGUCAGAUACUGCCUGAUUUUCUGCACUGUG